UUCAGCCUUCACAUUAGUCACAAGACACAGUUAGUGACCUAGUUUUGUUUCUACCCGUCUUUACGGCCAAACUGUAUUUAUUACUACGUAGCAUACAUAAAGACGUUGCUCACUAAUAGUUGUUAUUUCAUAUCGCCUUGGAGGAUCUUUGCUACGACAACCAGACCCAUUGAAUUGCAUAAGGAAGAUCAUAUCAGCGUAGAAAAUGGCCACUCGGGGAUUUAUUAUUGUGACGGUAUUUGUAUUGAUUGCUAUGGCCCUGCAAAUUGUUGGAUUCUCUACAUCAUACUGGCAGUAUAACGAAGAUUAUGGUCAUACCGGUCUUUUUAAAUUCUGUUUACCCAACUUAGCUGAUAUUAAAGUCUGUGGUGAAUACACUUUAAGCGACAAAUCAGACUGGUUUAAAGCCGUUGUGAGUUUAGAAAGCAUUGCAAUUAUUUUACAAAUACUUUCUGCCCUAUUUUUACUGGCCUUCCAUUGUAAAAAUGAGUCCAAAGACUAUGCUAAAGCCUGUUUCUUCUUUUUGGUCAUGGCAGGUAUUUCUGGAAUUAUAGGCGCGGUUAUAUAUGGAUCGAAAGCUGAGCUUACAGACAAAAUUCCUUUACAUUGGUCAUUUGCUUUUGAAAUCGUGGGAAGUGGCAUAAGUUUCAUCGUAGGAUUGGCAGCUGCCCUUUCCCUUGUUCAACAGUCCGGUUACCUCCAACUGAGUUAAACAUGCGAGCUGUCGCCAUCUCUUUGAUAUUAAUUUUUUUCAAAGGCUAGAGCUUAUUCAUUUCAGACUAAUUGUGAAACUACUUGUCCAUAUGGAACCUAGUGUAACAUCUUCCUGUCUAAUUGCCGAAUAUAUCUCAGUUUAAUUAAAAUUAUUCUCACAUUUCGUUCCGUUUUAUUUUCUAGAUCAGAAACAGUCCGUCAAGUGCUAUUGUUCGUCUUCUUCUUUUUAAGAGCGACGCUUUUCGACAAAAGCCUAAGAUUCCUUGGUCAAAAUUGUGCGUCGAUUGACACAUUUGGGUCACAAUUCAAAGAUGGCGACGAUAAUGUCAUACUCGGUUCCGUUUAUAUACUAAUCGUUCUUGUCUUAAUCCUUUGCUCCACUUUAUCUUGGUCGUAACACUUUCGUAACAAGGCGUAGAGUGGUUAACAGAAUAAACGGAACGAAAAUAAUAAAAUCUAGUUUUAAUUAUAUUGAAUAUAUCUCUGUAAAUAAUAUAAAUGAUCCAUGUAUAUUGUAUAAUAUUUACUUGCUCUCUAUAUUUGUAUUGUCUUAUUAUUGUAUAUAUUAAAUAUUAAAAACAUUUUUUGUGUGAAA